rnacentral:rRNA from 1 species
CCUACGGGCGGCUGCAGUGGGGAAUAUUGCACAAUGGGCGCAAGCCUGAUGCAGCCAUGCCGCGUGUGUGAAGAAGGCCUUCGGGUUGUAAAGCACUUUCAGCGGGGAGGAAGGCGUAAAGGUUAAUAACCUUGGCGAUUGACGUUACCCGCAGAAGAAGCACCGGCUAACUCCGUGCCAGCAGCCGCGGUAAUACGGAGGGUGCAAGCGUUAAUCGGAAUUACUGGGCGUAAAGCGCACGCAGGCGGUCUGUCAAGUCGGAUGUGAAAUCCCCGGGCUCAACCUGGGAACUGCAUUCGAAACUGGCAGGCUAGAGUCUUGUAGAGGGGGGUAGAAUUCCAGGUGUAGCGGUGAAAUGCGUAGAGAUCUGGAGGAAUACCGGUGGCGAAGGCGGCCCCCUGGACAAAGACUGACGCUCAGGUGCGAAAGCGUGGGGAGCAAACAGGAUUAGAUACCCUUGUAGUC